CAAUAGCGUAUAUUAAAGUUGUUGCGGUUAAAAAGCUCGUAGUUGGAUUUCUGCCGAGGACGACCGGUCCGCCCUCUGGGUGUGUAUCUGGUUUGGCCUGGGCAUCUUCUUGGAGAACGUAGCUGCACUUGACUGUGUGGUGCGGUGUCCAGGACUUUUACUUUGAGGAAAUUAGAGUGUUUCAAGCAGGCACACGCCUUGAAUACAUUAGCAUGGAAUAAUAAGAUAGGACCUCGGUUCUAUUUUGUUGGUUUCUAGGGCCGAAGUAAUGAUUAAGAGGGACAGUUGGGGGCAUUCGUAUUUAAUUGUCAGAGGUGAAAUUCUCGGAUUUAUGAAAGACGAACAACUGCGAAAGCAUUUGCCAAGGAUGUUUUCAUUAA
rnacentral:rRNA from 1 species